rnacentral:rRNA from 1 species
CCCUUAGAUGUCCGGGGCCGCACGCGCGCUACACUGAAGGAAUCAGCGUGGCUUUCUCCCUGACCCGAAAGGGUUGGGAAACCCGUUGAAUCUCCUUCGUGAUAGGGAUUGGGGCUUGAAAUUGUUCCCCAUGAACGAGGAAUUCCCAGUAAGCGCGAGUCCUAAGCUCGCGUUGAUUACGUCCCUGCCCUUUGUACACACCGCCCGUCGCUACUACCGAUUGAACGGUUUAGUGAGGGCCUCGGAUUGGUCUCGGCCCGCUCUUUACCGGGCGGCGCCGUUGGUCGAGAAGACGCUCGAACUUGAUCGUUUAGAGGAAGUAAAAGUCGUAACA